AGAAUCAACGCUGGCGGCGUGCCUAACACAUGCAAGUCGAACGAGAAAGUGGAGCAAUCCAUGAGUAAAGUGGCGCACGGGUGAGUAACACGUGACUAACCUACCUUUUAGUGGGGGAUAACCUAGGGAAACCUGGGCUAAUACCGCAUAAUACCUACGGGUCAAAGCAGCAAUGCGCUGAAAGAGGGGGUCGCGGUCGAUUAGUUAGUUGGCAGGGUAAUGGCCUACCAAGACUGUGAUCGAUAUCCGGCCUGAGAGGGCGCACGGACACACUGGAACUGAAACACGGUCCAGACUCCUACGGGAGGCAGCAGUGGGGAAUUUUGCGCAAUGGGCGAAAGCCUGACGCAGCAACGCCGCGUGGAGGACGAAUGCUUUCUGAGUUGUAAACUCCUUUCAGCAGGGACGAUUGUGACGGUACCUGCAGAAGAGCACCGGCCAACUACGCGCCAGCAGCCGCGGUAA
rnacentral:rRNA from 1 species